GAUGAACGCUGGCGGUAUGCCUUACACAUGCAAGUCGUACGAGAGUUUUUAAAUCAAGUGGCGGACGGGUGAGUAACACGUAAGAAUUUAACUUUAGGAGGGGGAUAACAACUGGAAACGGUUGCUAAUAACCCCGAUGAUUCCGAGGGAAAGGGGUGUCCGACUAAAGAAAAGCUUGCGGCUGAGUAGCUUGUUGGUGAGGGAACGGCUCACAAACGCGACCAUCAGUAUCUGAGUUGAGAGCAUGAUCAGACACAUUGGAACUGAGACACGGGCCAGACUCCUACGGGAGGCAGCAAUGGGGAAUUUUCCGCAAUGGGCGAAAGCCUGACGGAGCAAUACCGCGUGAGGGAUGAAGGCCUAUGGGUUGUAAACCUCUUUUUUCAGGGAGGAAUCAAUGACGUGUACUUGAAGAAUAAGCAUCGGCUAACUCCGUGCCAGCCGCCGCGGUAACAC
rnacentral:rRNA from 1 species